GGCGAGUUGGAAGGGUUGAUUCUGACACUUGCCGGACUUGCCAGAUCUAUCUCUUCCAGCUUGUCCU